CACUGGUGUAGUGCUUGGUUGGACACUGCUGCCAGUAGGACCUGAAGUUGAAUAACACUGCAUUAGAUUGCACUUAUGACACAUGUUUUGAAGGACAGCAGCAGUCACUUUGAGGACGACUGAUUAUCAGCCAUGCCCUCUAGUCUCCCUCUAAGUGUGAUUGGCAGGUUGUUGUCUGCUACACCUUGCAGGCAGCAAGGUGGGUGUUGAUAAUGCCAGCGGAGAGAGGAUGUCAGGAAGUGAAAAUGAUGUUGAGCUGACUGUUGUUACUGGUCUCCGGCUCAAAAACACAGAAGACUGCAAGGGUCGCAGGGGGGCCUGAAGUCUAGCCCAGCAUGCAUUGGGCAAGAGGGAGGAUUACACCCUGGACAGGCCACCAAUCUGUUGCAGAGCACACAUG